GUAAUUAAUCAUGACACUUGAUUUUAAAAAGUGAGCUUCUGUGGCAGAGAAUAUCUGAAGAUACUCAAUACUGAAUACUUUUCCAAGUGCAAUUUCUCUUUUUCAGUUUUAGAUCCAACUUACUGUCCACCAGAAAGAGCUAUCCAAAUCAACUGAUGAAAGAAGGUGGGAGGGAAGGAAGGAAAGAGAAAAAAAGAAAGAGAAAGAUCCUUGUAACAAUUAUGCAUAGUUAAGCAACAUGAACUCCACCAUUUGUCAUGUCCAAAAUAUGUGCCUCAUUCUGCAUGUUGAGCCCAUCACCAUGUUGAAAGGAUAAAGACACAAAGGACCAACAGAGAUGGAGAAGAAAGAGGGCUGGGCAGGAAAAGAGAGCAGGUUGGAAAUGUAUGCUUCUUUGUAUCACUCAGUGCUUAGCAUAAUGCCUAUCACCUGCAAAGCACAUUUUAAAAAUCCCAUCUACUUUGUCUCCCCAGCAUUGAGUAUAGUGUCUCUGCUUAGUCAAUGUUCAUUUAUUCUUUUCCAGGGGAGAAAGAAGACUGAGCAGUGACCCUAGAGACAGAGACCUAGAUUUUAAUUCUAGCUUUUCUCCUUCCUAUCUAUAUGACCCAAGAAUUAUUACAACUCAAUUUCUUUAAAAUGAAAAGUGAUAUUAGAUGAUCUUUAAGUGCUGGUAAUGAUUAAACACAAGUUUUCCAAAACAGAACACCACACUUUCAAAUAUAAUCUAUGUUAUUAACAUUUCCCCCCACACUUUCUUAAGCCUAGACAAUCAACUAAACAAUAAAUCAAGGCUAAUUUGUAGUGUUUAUCUAUUUCAAGGGUAUAAAUGCCUCAAGUGAAAAUUUUACAAAAGGUUUUUUUAAAAAGUGAGCUGUUUUUAGCAAACCUUUGGGAGUCAGUGAUUCUCACUAAAUAGAACUUUAAGGAACCAGCACAGGUCCUGAAGUGCCAGUUGGAGCAGGAGGGACGGCAAAAGCUCCAGUGGAAACAAGCAGAGUCUGAAGAGGCAACUACAGAACUAUUCAACACUUGACUUUUUACUUCU